rnacentral:rRNA from 1 species
UACGAAGGGGGCUAGCGUUGUUCGGAAUUACUGGGCGUAAAGCGAACGUAGGCGGUGUUCCAUGUCAGAGGUGAAAGCCUGGGGCUCAACUCCAGAAUUGCCUUUGAAACGGGGACGCUUGAGUCCGAGAGAGGAUGGCGGAAUUCCUAGUGUAGAGGUGAAAUUCGUAGAUAUUAGGAAGAACGCCGGUGGCGAAGGCGGCCAUCCGCGCGUCGGUACGACGCUCAGGUUCGAAAGCGUGGGGGAGCAAACAGGG